GCUACAUAGUUCUAGAACGCAAGGACUGCUUCUAAGAAUCACACCCUCUACUGACAAGUGAGUUCCCAUCCUUGGGUUCGCUCAGUGCUGAAUCCUACUCCCAAAUGAAUGACAUGAACUGAUUAUACUGAACUGAUUUCCUAGUUCAUACUAGAAUUAACAAAACUGUUACUAAUUGUUCUAUUUAACUGAACUGAACAUGGACUGAGUUUAUUG
rnacentral:lncRNA from 1 species